ACGUAGGUGGCAAGCGUUGUCCGGAUUUACUGGGUGUAAAGGGCGAGUAGGCGGGACUGUAAGUCAGGUGUGAAAUGCGGAGGCUCAACCUCCGAAUUGCAUUUGAAACUGCGGUUCUUGAGUGAUGGAGAGGCAGGCGGAAUUCCCGGUGUAGCGGUGGAAGGCGGAGAGAUCGGGAGGAAGAGCAGUGGCGAAGGCGGCCUGCUGGACAUUAACUGACGCUGAGGAGCGAAAGCGUGGGGAGCAAACAG
rnacentral:rRNA from 1 species